AGAAUCUUCCGCAAUGGGCGCAAGCCUGACGGAGCGAUGCCGCGUGGGGGAAGGAGGCCCUCGGGUCGUAAACCCCUGUCGGACGGGACGAAGCCAAUGACGGUACCGUCCAAGGAAGCCACGGCUAACCACGUGCCAGCAGCCGCGGUAAUACGUGGGUGGCGAGCGUUAUUCGGAUUCACUGGGCGUAAAGGGUCCACAGGGGGCGUGCCACGCCCGCCGUGAAACCCGGGGGCCCAACCCCCGGCCUGCGGCGGGCACGGGCGCGCUGGAGCGCGGGAUGGGCAGACGGAAUUCCGGGUGUAGCGGUGGAAUGCGUGGAUAUCCGGAAGAACACCGACGGCGAAGGCGGUCUGCUGGCCCGUGACUGACCCUCAUGGACGAGAGUGCGGGUAGCGAACA
rnacentral:rRNA from 1 species